rnacentral:rRNA from 1 species
UACGGGGGGGGCAAGCGUUGUUCGGAAUUACUGGGCGUAAAGGGCUCGUAGGCGGCCAACUAAGUCGGAUGUGAAAUCCCCAGGCUUAACCUGGGAACUGCAUCCGAUACUGGAUGGCUUGAAUCCGGGAGAGGGAUGCGGAAUUCCAGGUGUAGCGGUGAAAUGCGUAGAUAUCGGGAGGAACACCUGUGGCGAAAGCGGCUCACUGGACCACAACUGACGCUGAGGCGCGAAAGCUAGGGGAGCAAACAGG